GAAAUUAUCAUACCAUUCGUACGGGUUCUCCACUUAUGAGGGAUACAGCUUUAAGUCAUUCUCAGAAUGCUAAGGUAAUGCAAACUUCUUUGUACAGAAAACAGAAAAAUCCACAAAACCAAAAUUGGACUACAGAUUUACAUACAAUAUGGAUUAUUCAUAUGUACUAGAGAAUCUAUAUUAUAUAUAUUCGCUGUUCAUCCAAAUGUCUCGAAGGAGUUCAUAUCUGACAGCACUUUGAUUGUUAUUUCCCUUGGAAAUCCGGCUGGGUCUUGUAGGAACAGGGGAAGACCGAGAACUGCUAAUAAAGAUUGAAGCCAAAGGAGAAUUCAGUUCAUCCAGCUCAUCAUCACUUGUGUAGGAUUUUCUAACCACCGAGGAUCCACUUCUUCUCAGCUGAGAAUUACUUCCAAAAUCUCCAAUGGAACUGGCAGCAGAAUCAGCUGAAGGUGGUGUAUAG
rnacentral:lncRNA from 1 species